rnacentral:tRNA from 1 species
GCGGGUAUCGUAUAGUGGUUAUUACGGUAGGUUUCCAACCUUUAGACAGGAGUUCGAUUCUCCUUACCCGCUCCA